CCUACGGGAGGCAGCAGUGAGGAAUAUUUGUCAAUGGCCGAGAGGCUGAACCAGCCAAGUCGCGUGAGGGAAGACGGCCCUACGGGUUGUAAACCUCUUUUGUCGGGGAGCAACGCGAACCACGUGUGGUUCAUUGAGAGUACCCGAAGCAACAGCAUCGGCUAACUCCGUGCCAGCCGCCGCGGUAAUACGGAGGCUGCGAGCGUUAUCCGGAUUUAUUUGGUUUAAAGGGUGCGCAGGCGGAGGUGCAAGUCAGCGGUAAAAUUGCGGGGCUCAACCCCGUACUGCCGUUGAAACUGCAUCCCUUGAGUGCGCGAGAAGUAUGCGGAAGGCGUGGUGUAGCGGUGAAAUGCAUAGAUAUCACGCAGAACUCCGAUUGCGAAGGCAGCAUACCGGCGCGCAACUGACGCUCAUGCACGAAAGCGUGGGUAUCGAACAGGAGUAGAUACCCCUGUAGUC
rnacentral:rRNA from 1 species